rnacentral:rRNA from 1 species
UACAGAGGUCCCAAGCGUUGUUCGGAUUCACUGGGCGUAAAGGGUGCGUAGGCGGUCGGGUAAGUCUGGCGUGAAAUCUCCAAGCCUAACUUGGAAACUGCGUUGGAUACUAUCCGGCUCGAGGAAUGGAGGGGAGACUGGAAUACUUGGUGUAGCAGUGAAAUGCGUAGAUAUCAAGUGGAACACCAGUGGCGAAGGCGAGUCUCUAGACAUUUCCUGACGCUGAGGCACGAAAGCCAGGGGAGCAAACGGG